UACGUAGGGCGCAAGCGUUGUCCGGAAUUAUUGGGCGUAAAGAGCUCGUAGGCGGCUUGUCGCGUCGUCCGUGAAAACUUGGGGCUCAACCCCAAGCUUGCGGUCGAUACGGGCAGGCUAGAGUUCGGUAGGGGAGACUGGAAUUCCUGGUGUAGCGGUGAAAUGCGCAGAUAUCGGGAGGAACACCAGUGGCGAAGGCGAGUCUCUGGGCUGAUACCGACGCUGAGGCGCGAAAAGCCAGGGGGAGCAAAACGGGG
rnacentral:rRNA from 1 species